CCUUCUCUGCAGCAAAGGGGGGGGACAAAUGCUGCCUCCAGCCUUUCCAAUGGCCCCUCUUUGAGUUCAGAGCUCUUGUCAUUCCCGUGCCUGGCUGAUGCUCUAUUAUUGAAGUUUCAAGCUUUCUCGUUCAGCAGCUUUACCAAAUUUGCUCAGAAAAUUAGAAAAUUGCUAUGUAUAUAUCCAACCCACUUCUCUUGUCAGUUCUGAUUUAGUGCUAGAGAUCAGAGGGAUGCUCAGGUAGGAGCAUCAGGUAAUUACCCUCAAAGAUGCCUGGGUCCCAAAGGCAGCCUUGAGAGGAACGGAUACCACGAGGAGGGGGCUGGCACAGGUACUGCUGCACGGAGCUCAGAGCACACAUUGGGAAAGGCACAGCAGCGAGGAUCCAGAAUCACCUUUUCUCCAGGAAGUGAAAAGCCUUGGGAAGAUUGGAUCAUGCAUUAUUUUUACCCUUGCAAAUGGUUCCCAGGCGCACUGAGCUCAAGCUGUGAAAAAUAGAGAGCACAAGCACUGGCUCCUGAGAUGCUGACCAUAGGGCUCAGGUUGGAUACAGUCACACAGAUAAAACCUCUGCGGGGUCCCAGCUGAGACUGCAUCACCUCGUGGGACCUUGGCAGCAACACAAGGCUGCUGUGCCCGAGGCUCUGGUGGGAAGAGGCACCAACACACCUUGGUUCCUCCGAGAUGAAUUUCAGACUUCUGAGCAAACCUGGCUUCCUGACAACUUGGCUUCGUCUGCUUAUUACAUGUAACACAUAACCUCCUUAAUAUUACACAUGGCACGUUUAACUGCUUAAUUUACUUUGGGAAAUCUUGCCAAGUGCAGCUAUUCUGUUGACGUAUCAUUUGCAUGAUAAACUUGUAUACUUUAAGCUACGAAUAGGACGCAUCUGUGAGCUAUCCAUCCACAACUUUACAAGCUCCCAGCAGCACAGGAUCUUCACACCUACAGUUGGAGCCCUACAUCGUGUCUGGGGAGGGAAGGAUCCCUUCUCUGGUGCCUUGUCUGCAUCAAGGAAUCAGAUGGGGUAGUUCUGAAAUAACUUCCUGUGCAGACGUUCUCUUUGGACUGGAAAUGGCUUAUAUUUUUAAUCACUCUGAACAGCUAUUUUUGCUUGGAUACAACUGGAAAUGACAUUUCUUGCUUAGACAAUAUGCUAUUCUGGCGUAUCCCCUGCUGUGUGCUCACUGCAAGGAGCCUGCGGCUCGGCCUAGGGCAGAGCUUCACAUGCACAAGUGUAUCGACGGGUGGGAGCAGCCCAAACCCUCCCACCAUGGACCCCACAUCCACCCCUUGGCUCCUCUCCAGGCUCCUUUUCUUAGCAUCAUGUGUGUCUAUCUGCACCUUUUUGACGGAGCAGACUUGCUCUGGUGCCUAUCAGCACUAACAAGCACUGCUCCCUCCGCGCCCUGCUCUAUGGGGCAGUCUCACCUCCUUGCUCUCCAUCAUAUUAGGCUUGCAGUCAUGCAGUGCCCUGUAAAGCUUCAAGGCCUUUGAAAACCGAGGGCUGGCAUCUUGAAGUCUAAUUUGACACGUUUCCAACAGGGGAAGCAUUUAUUAUAUUAGACAAGUUGAUGCAGCUCUCAGGUUGGGAAUUGCACUUAUUUGCUGUAAUAAUGGUGUAAAGUCCUCUUCUUUUUAUUGUGUUAUCUCUUUUUAAUCAUGCAGAGACGCUCCCCAGCAAUUUUAAUCAAAGGCUCGAGCAUCACUUAUCUGAAAACUAAUGACUCAACUCAAUGAGAGGAGAAACUUUGAAGAGCUCACGAUUGAGCUGGGAGGAGUGAAAAAGGAGAGUUUAUUCGAAACUUUGCUCUUUCAUUAAGGCAGCCUUUUUUUGGGCCAGGACUUGGCUGUGUGUCUAUAUGCAGCUCCUAGCACAGCGGGACGCGGAGCACGAUAGGACCUCUGGAUCCCAUAGUGAUGCUGGUACUGGGAGAUGACUGGAGAUGCUGGCUGGAGCUCUACGCCUGACAGCAGCCCAGGAGCAGGACUGGUCUGGCUACCCUGAAACACUGAGAUGUGAUCGAGUCUGAGCUGGUUACCAUGCUCCAGUGCUCACUGGAGGUCUGACUGCAGCAUGAGGUGGCAUUUGAAAUGUCUCUGAUGGUGGCCCCAUUCAGGCAUUGGAACGUGUUGUCUGGGGAAAUGGCAAGUCUACAUGCCUGGAGGUACUGAAGACAUUCAUGGAUGUGGCACCAAGGGACAUGGAAUAGAGAUGGGACUUGGGCAAUGUAAAUGGGACUUCACCCCAUCCCCACCUCCUGACUUGAGACUGUGGCUUGAGAACAGCAGGAAUUGCUCAUGGGACAGACCAGGGAUGUAUAUAUCAAGGCUGGAACACAGAGAUGAAAGCAUCCCGGGGGCAGGCAGAAGAGUGGGGCUGGAAUUCAGCUUCCUCACUGCAAGAUUUCACUUUCACUGAGUAGAUAUUUGGUAAAAUAUCUCUUCCUCCUCAUGCUGAGGACCUUAUUGCUCCCCAGGCCUGAGCACAGGAUCAUUCAACAGAAAGACAUUGAAAAAGUCAGCGUUGGCUUUUUCUCUCUGCAAAUAACACCGUGUUUCAGAGAGGCUGAAAUUGCAACAUGAAUCAAAGCAGACAGCUGGAGUCUAUGCGUGCAGCCUGCAGCCCUCAUGCACUGAAGGGCCUGCCCUGUCCCCAGGACGUCUAUGGACGCUCCAAGGUGAGAGCCCUGAGAGCAGUGCCUGGUGAGGAGCAGUGUCCUUCAGGUGACACCCCAAAGGCUUGUGCUCAUCCCAUGGGCAUCUAUGAGAAGAGCAGCUGCUGGGCCAGCUUCUUGAAGGUGGGAAAUCUCCUCUUGGGAGCAGUAAUUGAUGAUAACUCCCCAUUUGGAGCACACGGUGAGUCCCAGAGCCAUGCUCACAGCACCCUGAGUCUUCCAUACUGGAGUGGUGUUGCUCCCUGCCCACCAGCACUGAGGCUGCAGCAGAUUUGCUGUUUUAACAUAGCAUUGCAUCCCGGCUCCGUGUGCCAAAAUCAAUAAAGGGAUCAUGAAUGAUAUUUCAAUAAUAACGAUCAUGAGAACAAAUAUAGCCGUGUGCUGGGUGCUGUGCUCAAAUGCAACAGCACAGUCCCUCUGUUGUAUUUAAAGAUCCUGACCCUGGCUGGUUAGAUACCAGGAAAUCUGCUUAUUGAUUUAAUGACCUUUGGCUGAAGUCGUGAGCAGAGAGGAGGCAGAGGAGGAUGGAAUAGAAUCACAGAGCCAUCAAAUCACUGAGGUUGGAAAAGACCUCUGGGAUCUUCAAGUCUGACCCCUACCCAUCCCACCAUGCCCACCAGCCGUGUCCCUCGUGCCAUGUCUCCAUGCUUCCAGAACACUUCCAGGGAUGGUGACUCCACCACUUCCCUGUUUUAAUGCAUUACUUAAAGGUCUUUUCCAGCUUUAACAACUCUAUGACUAUGACCACUUCUUCUGAGAAGGAACCCUUCCCAAUAUCCAAACUGGAGAGCAGGGAUGCAGCUUGCUUGGCUGGGUUUGUUUCAUUCUACCCUUUUACCCUCUUUCUCUUCGUACUCCAGCACCAAGCUUGUCCAUCCCCAGGGAUAAGCACACCUUAUAGCCCCACGCUCCUCCCAAGGGUGGGUACAUCAGCACAGCCACACAGUGUGGCGCUCCCACCCGGGAGCCACCCUGCAGGAGGGUCUUUGGGUGCCCUCCUUCACCCACAGCUAUUUCCACCUGUGGGGCUGUCUAUGGAUAUCUCACCCCCAGGUCUGUGGGGCAGCCCUGGCUGGGGCCAUGCCUUGCCAAAAGCAUUUCCUGGUGAGUUGCAGCCCCGUGGUGAGCCAGCUGCUCGGCAUGGCUGAGAAUCGACAGGGAACCAAGCGGGUGGAGGAUUUUAAUACCUAUCCCUCUCAAACUGCUAUGGAAAGGGAAAGUUCAUUGGUUGUCGAUAUUAUCCUGCUGUGAUAAAAGCUUAAGAAGCUGCUUUGCAAAUGCCCACUGCGAGGAGCAUGCUAUAAAUGUUUCCAGCAUGAAGUGAUACAUCACAGCUCAUGGAUGUUCCCACUGAGAAAGACCCCAGCUCCAGCUUCUUCCAGGGACGCGCUUAGGAAAUGCAAUCUACCACUGCCAGCAUAAUCAAACACAUAUUGUUCCCAGGCACCAAAGUGGCCACCGGUGAAUUGAUACUUGGGAGCACUUUGUUCUUACACAGCUCUUCAUCUGUCACUCUCAAAAUCUGUGGGUUUUCUCCUUCUUUUUGUUUUUACAAGGGGUUCCUAUUACCAUCUCCACUCUGCCAGGAGGGAAACUGAGGCUGGGAAUGUCACCCAUGACUGCUGAGUCUGUGGACGUCUCCUUGGAAUCACAUCAGUUCAUUACAGGCACAGCUUUCCUUUGGCCAUCAGUGUCCAUCUGCUCAGAUGUUCCGGAGCUCCAUCAUGAAAGCCUGGGAAAUUUAUUUAUUUCAACCCAUUUAAAGUGAUUUCACUAAUGUAUUCCACAGAGUGGGUUUAGCGUGUGAGCUCUUUACUAAAAUCAUUACUGUAUUAAUGAGACCUAACCUAAAGCCACUGAACAUGACUUUAAAGGAAUAUCUCAAAGCGGCGGCUGAGAUGGAUGGGAGCAGGCAGAACGUGUUUGUAAAGUUAUAUUUAGUCAAAUCAAACUGGAACUCAUUAAAUACAGCAAAAUAAUUCACUGAAUAAUUCACUCCAGUUGAAUGCGAAGGAUUUGGAGAACCUUGGGUUGUUUGAUUGAAAAGCAGGUUAUUGAUGCUCCUGUGCAUGUGACAGAGCAGAAAUAGGAGUGGGAGGUGGAGAGCUGUCACCUCGGUGUGAAGGGCCUUCCGUGGAGAAAGGUCCAUCAGAACCAAAGGUUGGCAAAGCGUGGCUGGAAUUAAGGCUCACGCUUUUGUUUGGGAGGGAAAUGAACAGCAGCCCCUGAGUGGGGAGUAUGGGAUGUAGGAGAGCACUCUGGGAGCAGCGCAGGGUCAGAGGAGGAAUGGCUCCAGCAGUGCCUUUGCUUAUACCCAAGCAGGGCAUGCACCUACUCUUAAAGCAAGUAAAACCUCAUUCCCUCAUUCGUGCAAACUUCAGGCCACACCUCAGACCUGGUCCCAACCAUUCAGCCAUCCCUACAGCAUCGGAGAGGAUCAGCUUUGCUUCACAUAUGAGAAAACCCUGGCACAGACACCAUGGCAGCUCAGCCAUGUGUCCCCUCCGCACCCCCUCCUCCUUUAACCCCAUUCAUGCCAGCAUGCUCCGCUCUGGAAUCUCCCAGCAAAAGGAAAAGCUUUAAACAAAAUACAAUUUUACAGUUCAUUUCAGUUAAUCACAGAGUCUAUGUUCUGAAAUGAUCUUCUCGGCAUUGCCUAUGGAGAGAAGCAAUGGCUGAUUGGCAUUCCAUUACUAAACAGCUAAGCCAUUCAUAAUGCAAAAAAACAGACUUGAUGGAAAGAUUUGAUUCAGUUUUCAAGCUAGACUAAUUCAAAACCCAGUGCUCUAUAAAUCAGAGCAAAUGUUCUUUAUAAAAAAAAUAUAGCCGAGCCUGUGUGCAGUAUCAGAUCUAUGAUUUAUGCCUGUAUCCCAUUAAACUGAAGGACAAGCGAGGGGAGCACAGGGCUGCCACUGCAUGCCAGCUCCCUGCCUGCCCCGCAAUAAACACGUUCUGUGACUGCAGGAACAGUGUGAUGUCUGAGGGACGUUUGGGGGCUGAGGGGAUGUUCUGUUUUCCAGGGGCACAGCAAAGCCCCUUGGGGGGCUGUGGAGCCUGCAGGAGGGCAGGGGAUGGUGCCUCGGAGCAGCAGGGCUGUGCUGAAGCCCUCGGUUUUUCCUUCUUUGCUGCACCACCUCAUGCCCUGCAGAGUCCCUUCUGCAGAGAUACCACUGUUUUUCAGCCUGCAGGUGGGAUGUCUCCUUUGAGCAUCACAGGAUACAACAGUUCCCCAGCACCACUUUCAGGCUGCAGCAGAAGGAAGCGGUCCAGGAAACAUCCCACGCGUGUUUCCUUCCUGCUAAACCUCUCCACCCGAUGGCAGCUUCAGCGCUGUGCAUUGCUUUGGUGCAUGGAGCAGUGCUGUGUUCCACACCAAGCCCUGGGUGUGGGUGUUCUUCCACCUCUCCGUGCAUCUCCUGCUCUUGUUUGCCUUCUCUACAGCCCACGUGGCUCCACACCGAGUGGAGCUGGGGGCCGUUAACAUCUGUUGGCACUCCAGAGCUCGUGGGGAAAACGAUGCCAUCUUUCAGGGACCGCCGCUGACAUUUUAAAAGCCGUGUCUGAAAUCCCUGAACAAUUAAGAGCGAGGCUUUCACAUUCCUCCCUACCCACAGCAUUGCACAGGCAAGGCACCAGCUGAGAAGUGCGUGGUGAUAGGAAAAGCCACGAUUAAUGAAUAAUGGAGCGCUGGCAAUAUGUAACUUCCAGGCGGAGCCAUCAUAAUUCAAUCCAAGCAGCAAUAUCAGGGCCUUUCCUUGGAGGAGUCUAAGCAGUGGUUAAAUAUUCAAUAAAAAAAAAAGAUGGC
ensembl:lncRNA